rnacentral:rRNA from 1 species
UACAAGUAGCGAAGUCCGUGAGCCAUGCGUCAAGAAAAGCCGCUAUUGUUUAUACCGUACCCGUACCGUAAACCGACACAGGUGGAUGAGGAGAGAAUCCUAAGGCCGGCGGAAGAAGCAUUGUCAAGGAACUCGGCAAAAUGACCCCGUAACUUCGGGAGAAGGGGUGCCACUGAGAAGUGGCCGCAGAGAAUAGGCUCAAGCAACUGUUUAGCAAAAACACAGGUCUAUGCGAAACCGAAAGGUGAGGUAUAUGGGCUGACGCCUGCCCGGUGCUGGAAGGUUAAGAGGAGAGGUUAGCGCAAGCGAAGCUUUGAAUUUAAGCCCCAGUAAACGGCGGCCGUAACGAUAACGGUCCUAAGGUAGCGAAAUUCCUUGUCGGGUAAGUUCCGACCCGCACGGAAGGCGUAAUGAUUUGAGCGCUGUCUCGACAAUGCAUCCGGUGAAAUUGAAGUACCAGUGAAGAUGCUGGUUACCUGCGCCAGGACGGAAAGACCCCAUGGAGCUUUACUCCAGUUUGGUACUGGGGUCCGGUAUUGCAUGUACAGGAUAGGUGGGAGGCUAGGAAGCAGUAACGCCAGUUGCUGCGGAGCCGCUGUUGGGAUACCACCCUUGCAGUACUGGGCUUCUAACCAGCCGCCGUGAACCGGCGGUGGGACAAUGCCAGACGGGGAGUUUGACUGGGGCGGUCGCCUCCGAAAGGGUAUCGGAGGCGCCCAAAGGUUCCCUCAGAAUGGACGGAAACCAUUCGAAGAGUGCAAAGGCAGAAGGGAGCUUGACUGCGACACCGACGGGUGGAGCAGGUACGAAAGUAGGGCUUAGUGAUCCGGUGGUAUUAAGUGGGAAUGCCAUCGCUCAACGGAUAAAAGCUACCCUGGAUAACAGGCUUAUCACUCCCAAGAGUUCACAUCGACGGAGUGGUUUGGCACCUCGAUGUCGGCUCAUCGCAUCCUGGGGCUGUAGUAGGUCCCAAGGGUUGGGCUGUUCGCCCAUUAAAGCGGUACGCGAGCUGGGUUCAGAACGUCGUGAGACAGUUCGGUCCCUAUCCGGCGUGGGCGUAGGAUAUCUGAGAGGAGCUGUCCUUAGUACGAGAGGACCGGGAUGGACGGACCGCUGGUGUACCGGUUAGACUGCCAAGUCUACGGCCGGGUAGCCAAGUCCGGAAGGGAUAAACGCUGAAGGCAUCUAGGCGUGAAGCCCUCCUCAAGAUGAGAUGUCCCAUUCGAAAGAAGUAAACCCCCUUGAAGACGACGAGGUAGAUAGGGCAGGGGUGGAAGUGUGGUAACACAUGGAGCUGACUGUUACUAAUAGGGUGAGGGCUUGACCG